rnacentral:tRNA from 1 species
GGGCAGAUAGUUCAGUUGGUAGAGCGUACCUCCGGGAAGGGAAGGUCCUGAGUUCGACCCUCGGUUUGCUCA